AUUGAACGCUGGCGGCAGGCCUAACACAUGCAAGUCGAACGAGUGGCGGACGGGUGAGUAAUGUCUGGGAAACUGCCUGAUGGAGGGGGAUAACUACUGGAAACGGUAGCUAAUACCGCAUACCAUCAGAUGUGCCCAGAUGGGAUUAGCUUGUUGGUGGGGUAACGGCUCACCAAGGCGACGAUCCCUAGCUGGUCUGAGAGGAUGACCAGCCACACUGGAACUGAGACACGGUCAAGACUCCUACGGGAGGCAGCAGUGGGGAAUAUUGCACGAUGGGCGAAAGCCUGAUACAGCCAUGCCGCGUGUGUGAAGAAGGUCUUCGGAUUGUAAAGCACUUUAAGUUGGGAGGCGUUACCAACAGAAUAAGCACCGGCAAACUUCGUGCCAGCAGCCGCGGUAAUAC
rnacentral:rRNA from 1 species